rnacentral:lncRNA from 10 species
GAUUUCACACCGACCUCCAUCAACAGCUAAACUGCACAGGGAGGAGGAUCGAACGGAUCCCUCCCGCCCUCCGCCCAAGGAGCCGACCCGGGGUAGCAAGACCCCCGCCCCCGCCAGGCUAGGACGAGCAGCCGCCACCGCUGCCACCGCCACCACCGCCGCCGCAGCGCCUCAGUGCGGCCCCGCCUCCGCCGCCCCACCACCUUCACCACCUCCACGCUCCGGUACCGCCCCUCCCGCCAAUCGGACAGCUCCGGCUACGCCCCCAGGGCGCUAGCCCGCAGCCAAUGAGCAACGAGAGCCCGACUGGGAGUCGCGCCGGCCAAUCGCAGGGGCCGAGGAAGCCUUGAAUCUCCGGGCAAGUUAAGUUUAUCUCCGAGGCUCGGAACUGAAGGGAGGUGGCGGUUAGCUAAGUAGUAGGGUAGCAGGGAACAGUUUGCUCUCCUCUGCCAAUAAGAGGACGAGGGUGUGUCAUAUGCAAAUAUACUGCCCUCCAAGCCCCACCCCCAAGAUAAGCUACGCCCCCUUCUCUAGGUCCCUGCAGAAGUGGUGAGGAGAAUGAGAUAAAUAGUUGGGAGCUAGAGCUCGCUAGAGAGUCUAAGAUUGAGCUAAAUAUUUCCUGAUCUCUCGAGAAAGGGGGAGGGGAGUGGGAGGAUUAAAUGUUCCUUCCUUCAGGGCAGUGGUUAGGCUUUCUCUCCACCAAAAUCUAACUUUAGCUGUAAAGAAGACUGCAGUUAUGUAGUACUUUGUAUCCAGGGAUCUCAAAGAACUUUACGCAUCAUUUAUUGUGAACCUUGUUUUGCAAAGAUUUCAGUUACUUGAGGCUUGGGAGGCGGAUAGGGGAUAAAUGUCUGAGUUAUAUAUAUAUUUACGCAAGUAAUCGAGUUUGAGGGGAGAGACACAAAACCUCUGGUUUAGCGGUUUCCUCUUGUUUGUGAAGCACCUUCUAGCAGUUAUCUUAGAGAUGUAAGUUCAUUUACUUGUCCAGCACUAAAAGGCCAAAGGGGCUUGUUUUCUCACCCAAAAGACCUUCCUGAGGCAGCUGUUCGGAUACAUGCAGAGCACAGCGCCCUGCUCAGAAAGGAAGGUUCAGAGAACAAAUUGUCGUUUAAAACUAUUGGGACAAACCUACCUCUUCUAAAGCUUAAAAUGGUCUCCAGCGUACCAGGAUUUGUGAAGGCCUGAAGUUCGUAGAAUGAAAUCUAUGUGGAGAUGAUUUAAAAGAACGGUUUCACUGAGACCAACACAUAUAAACCAAGUCUACACAAGAAACAAAGCUAAAAUCCUUUCGAAAUGAGUUCCUUUAAGUUCUUCAGUAACUAAAUCCUCCAGAAAGGAAAGCCGAGAGAAUCUAGUCCUAUACAAUAACACCCUCUAACAAAGAUCGCUAAAGGAAGAUUUUAGUAGAUGAAUAUCUUCAAUAAUACAUGGUCACAUACAUGUAUCUGACCAUAUGAUGGCUCUCUGCACCAAAUUCCUCCAAACUAUUAUAAUAUGUAUUGUCUGUAGUGCUAUUUAUUUGGCAGUUAAUCAUGUAUUACAUUGUGACAUUUCUUACAGUGAACCA